rnacentral:misc_RNA from 1 species
UAUGAAGAACGUAGCGAAAUGCGAUAAGUAAUGCGAAUUGCAGAAUUCAGUGAGUCAUCGAAUCUUUGAACGCACAUUGCGCCCUGUGGUAUUCCGCAGGGCAUGCCUGUUCGAGCGUCAUUUCAACCCUCAAGCUCUGCUUGGUGUUGGGCCCUGCCCGCUGCGGCCGGCCCUAAAGACAGUGGCGGUGCCGCCUGGCCCUGAGCGUAGUACAUCUCUCGCUCCAGUGCCCGGUGGUAGCCUGCCAGAACCCCAACUCUCGUGGUUGACCUCGGAUCAGGUAGGGAUACCCGCUGAACUUAAGCAUAUCAAUAAGCGGAGGA